GUCAUUGAGCGCAGCGUUGAUGAUGCGGAGCAUGUACGUCUUCCCGGGCUUCACUUUCAGCUUGAACGUGUCUGCGUGCAUGCAUAUCAUAAGUAUGGAUAUGAGUUAGUAUAAAGAAUCAUAGCCGUUAGCGCUCAUUAACU